UACGUAGGGUGCGAGCGUUAAUCGGAAUUACUGGGCGUAAAGCGUGCGCAGGCGGUGAUGUAAGACAGAUGUGAAAUCCCCGGGCUCAACCUGGGAACUGCAUUUGUGACUGCAUCGCUGGAGUGCGGAAGAGGGGGAUGGAAUUCCGCGUGUAGCAGUGAAAUGCGUAGAUAUGCGGAGGAACACCGAUGGCGAAGGCAAUCCCCUGGGCCUGCACUGACGCUCAUGCACGAAAGCGUGGGGAGCAAACAGG
rnacentral:rRNA from 1 species